CCUGGUUGAUUCUGCCAGUAGUCAUAUGCUUGUCUCAAAGAUUAAGCCAUGCAUGUCUAAGUAUAAGCAAUUAUACCGUGAAACUGCGAAUGGCUCAUUAAAUCAGUUAUCGUUUAUUUGAUAAUACCUUACUACUUGGAUAACCGUGGUAAUUCUAGAGCUAAUACAUGCUGAAAAUCCCGACUUCGGAAGGGAUGUGUUUAUUAGAUAAAAAACCAAUGCCCUUCGGGGCUUUUUGGUGAUUCAUGAUAACUUUACGGAUCGCAUAGCCUUGCGCUGGCGACGGUUCAUUCAAAUUUCUGCCCUAUCAACUUUCGAUGGUAAGGUAUUGGCUUACCAUGGUUUCAACGGGUAACGGGGAAUUAGGGUUCGAUUCCGGAGAGGGAGCCUGAGAAACGGCUACCACAUCCAAGGAAGGCAGCAGGCGCGCAAAUUACCCAAUCCCGACACGGGGAGGUAGUGACAAUAAAUACUGAUACAGGGCUCUUUUGGGUCUUGUAAUUGGAAUGAGUACAAUUUAAACCUCUUAACGAGGAACAAUUGGAGGGCAAGUCUGGUGCCAGCAGCCGCGGUAAUUCCAGCUCCAAUAGCGUAUAUUAAAGUUGUUGCAGUUAAAAAGCUCGUAGUUGAAACUUGGGCCUGGCUGGCGGGUCCGCCUCACCGCGUGCACUCGUCCGGCCGGGCCUUCCUUCUGAAGAACCUCAUGCCCUUCACUGGGCGUGCUGGGGAAUCAGGACUUUUACUUUGAAAAAAUUAGAGUGUUCAAAGCAGGCCUUUGCUCGAAUACGUUAGCAUGGAAUAAUAAAAUAGGGCGUGCGUUUCUAUUUUGUUGGUUUCUAGAGACGCCGCAAUGAUUAACAGGAACAGUCGGGGGCAUCAGUAUUCAGUUGUCAGAGGUGAAAUUCUUGGAUUUACUGAAGACUAACUACUGCGAAAGCAUUUGCCAAGGAUGUUUUCAUUAAUCAGUGAACGAAAGUUAGGGGAUCGAAGACGAUCAGAUACCGUCGUAGUCUUAACCGUAAACUAUGCCGACUAGGGAUCGGGCGAUGUUCUUUUUCUGACUCGCUCGGCACCUUACGAGAAAUCAAAGUUUUUGGGUUCUGGGGGAUUAUGGUCGCAAGGCUGAAACUUAAAGAAAUUGACGGAAGGUCACCACCAGGCGUGGAGCCUGCGGCUUAAUUUGACUCAACACGGGGAAACUCACCAGGUCCAGAUGAAAUAAGGAUUGACAGAUUGAGAGCUCUUUCUUGAUUUUUCAGGUGGUGGUGCAUGGCCGUUCUUAGUUCGUGGGGUGACUUGUCUGCUUAAUUGCGAUAAGAGCGAGACCUUACUCUGCUAAAUAGCCAGGCUAACUUUGGUUGGUCGCCGGCUUCUUAGAGAGACUAUCAAUCAAGUUGAUGGAAGUUUGAGGCAAUAACAGGUCUG
rnacentral:rRNA from 1 species